UUUUAAUAUCAUUGAAAGAAAAAAUCCGUUAUAUUGACACCCCACCAACUUUAAGACACUAUUUUCAAAAAUGUUGCAAUGUGUACCUUAAAAUAGAUGAAAUGUAGCAACUAGACACCACAGAUCCUGUCCCUCAUGCACAAGAUGAAGCAACUAUCCUCGCUUCCCAAAGACCUGAGGUUUCCUCUGGACAGCUGGCACCAGACAGCCUCUGAUCUUAAAGGUGGGAGCACAGCUGAGGGAAGCCACAAAAAUAUAUGAAGCCAAUCCACAGAAAAGGGACUGAAAGAGGGAACAACUCUUGAGAGCCUUCCUGGGAAGCCUUUGGGGUCGCUCCAUUCCGUGCUGUGGAUCAUUCCGGGAUUCCGUUCCUGCUGGCCGUUUCGCAGGUGUGUUUUUGUCUCAGACUCCAGUAGACCUAAGCAACAAACGGCCCAGUUAGUGCAGAGAACGGAGACAAGGGAGGAGCGGUGAGCACGGCGCCCGCGGUGAGGGUGGGUGCUGGGUCUCGGUUUCCUCGGUACCCUCUGCAAGGUUAAGGAAGUGCUCGCUGGGAGUGGUCCAGAGCCGUCUGUAUUUCAUGUGCACAAGAAAAGUCAAAUAUGAAUAUGUCUGCGGAUAUUCAUGCAAAAUGCGUUGUACCUACAGCAAAUAAUCCUUGAGAAAAGGAUGGGCCCCUCUUUGGGACCUUUUUAGGAUGUGGAACCUGACCGGACUUGAGUGGGAUGUGUGAGAGGGAGAGAGAGGAGAGGCUGGGCGAGGCAGGGAGUGCAUUCUGUGUAGGACUUCACGCGAUCAAAGCCAGAGAAGGGCUGCCCAGACUAUGUUUGCAGAAAAGUGAGCCCAGCUGAGCCGUUUCACAGCUUGCACUGUGGGGCGUGAGCCGGUGGAAAUUCAACUAGGGAAUAGACUGCAAAAGGUCUUGGGGCAGCCAAGAGUCGAAAGCUCCAUGAAGACAGAAAGACGGUAACUACGAUGACUGCUCUUCACUGGAUCCUCAGCCCCUUCCACAGAGCCUGUAACGGGACAAGGAUCUACUAAGUCUUUGUUUUUGAAUCAUUUGCUUGUGGGGGAAGCCAGCUGCCAUGUUGUGAAGACAUUCAAGCAGCCUUUAUGAAGUGGUUCACAUGGCAGAGAACUGAGGGCUCCUGCCGGCAGCCAGCGUCAACUUUCUGGCCAUGUGGCUGAGCCAUCUUGGAAGCAGAUCCUUCAGCCUGGUGAGGCUUUGGGAGGACUCCAGCCCUGGCCAACAGCUUGACUGCAACUGUAUGAGAGACCCCAAGACAGAACCACCCAGCUAAGCUGCUCCCGAAUACAUGACCCACAUAAAUUGCGCAGGCACAGCUGUUGAAGAAACCGCAGACUCUGCAGAAAAGCGCGAGUGUCAGCCCCUUCGGCGGAGUGUCAGCCCCUUCGGGCGGAGGAAGAGCUCAGGAGAAGCUCUUGGCCCACCGUCUGGGUUCUGGCCCUUGAGGCAGGGAGGAAAGAUAUAGACUUCUAUUACCUGCCAUCUUCAAUAUUCACAGCAACCAGAAGAGGGG
rnacentral:lncRNA from 1 species